UCCAAAACUUAAUUGAUUGAAGAAUUAAUGGCAGGAGAAAACGCAAUGUUCAAGUUCUUGAGUCCCAGACUCCGCCUCCAAUCCACCGAUAUCCAAACUGCCGCCUUUUGGGGUGUCGCCGCCGGCACCACCGCUCUAUGGCUUGUCCAGCCAUUUGAUUGGAUUAAAAAGACCUUUUUCGAGAAAGCAAACACUGAAGAGAAGUGAAGAAGAAUCAACUUUCUGGUAACAGCUUUCUGAUUUCUUCUUUCAGGUUGCUGAGAAAAACCAUGAACAAAGUCUAUAUGAAUAAUGUUGUUUAAUUUUGCACUUUAUUGAUGAGUCCUUGUUGGCAUUAUUCAUGACAAUGAUUUGAGAAUUAAACGCUUUUGUUUCUUGUUAUAUGUACUUUGGCUUGUCUCUCCCCCCAUAUGCAUUGCUUUCAGUUUCUAAAUUGCUGUGUGAAAGGUAAGUAGUGUUAAAUCUCUCUAAAUAUGCCAAAAGGAAAUGAGACGGCAAGUACCUCUUGAAUCAUGAGGUUAAGUGUGUUGGGGUGAUUCACAGUGGAGAAAAUUUGAGUUUCUACUUAAUUAUAGAACCGUACAAAUGGUAGAUUACUUCUUCACAGAUUUAAAUAAUGCUGGUGUGAAAUUUUAUCGCUGUAUCCUUUGCCUAUGUGGUAGAUUAAUCAAUGUAUUCAAUUUUUGUUAAGUGGCUUCGCUUUUAGAGAAACUAUAAUUUGUUCCUUUUUAUUAAAUUUUGUUUUCAUACUUGAUAAAAAGUCUUUAUUAUAUUUCUUUUCUAGAUUGAAAAAUUAUUUUCUCACAUUUUCUUUUUCAAUAUAAUUAUAUACUCUUCUUGUCUUCCAUGUUGGAGUAUAGUAUUUAUUUUUUAAUUGUUUUGUUUUUGUACUAUUAGCUAUCAACCUUUCCUCAAAAAGGACUUCAAAAGCUACACUAGUCAGUAUUCGAAUAUACCGUUUGUUUCAACUUGAUAUUUAAUUAAAUGAUGUGUAGACAGACAUUUAGGGCUCUAGGAAAUUGAAUCAAGUCAAAAAAUUUGAUAAAAAACUGUACUCGAGUCCUGAGCUUGUAAGAUCUGUAUGUGAUAGUAUUUGAAGUUUCAUGCUAUGGUAAUGCAAUGCUAGGUACUGUCUUUUUACAUGUUUCCUGUCUGGUUGGUAAAUUUGAAAUGUUUCUUUUCUUGUGCUUAGCAUUGAAAAAGUUAAUCCGUACGCAAAUACUUUAGAAAAAUAAAAGGCUGAAAAGACCACAAAGAGAGAUCAAAACCCUCUUGGCUUUCCAACUCGAUCAAGCUUUAGUGUUUGUAUGGUAACUGAACUCUGAAGCAGCAGCAGAUAGCUGCAAACCAUUCCAUGGCAUGUCACAUAUCAGCUCCCGUAUGACAUUCUCAUAAGGAUCUUCUGUGAAGUCCCAGUCACAACCAUUGACAGUACGUUUGCAAACCAUGUAGAGAGAUUCUUUCAGACCCUGAUUUUUCCUUCUCUUCAUGUCUCUCUCCUAGAAGUCCCUAAGAAAUACGUAGGAGGACUUGGAGAAACAUUUCAUCCAGCAUAAGCAUUUGAAUAAUCUGGAAUGCGACGUGGUAUGCCUACAAGUCUUAAGAAAUAAGAUAGGAGGUGGUCGUCAGAUUU